rnacentral:rRNA from 1 species
CCUGCAGUCGAACGGUAGCAGGAAGUGCUUGCACUUUGCUGACGAGUGGCGGACGGGUGAGUAAUGCUUGGGAACUUGCCUUUGCGAGGGGGAUAACAGUUGGAAACGACUGCUAAUACCGCAUAAUGUCUACGGACCAAACGGGGCUUAGGCUUCGGCGCAGAGAGAGGCCCAAGUGAGAUUAGCUAGUUGGUGGGGUAAAGGCUCACCAAGGCGACGAUCUCUAGCUGUUCUGAGAGGAAGAUCAGCCACACUGGGACUGAGACACGGCCCAGACUCCUACGGGAGGCAGCAGUGGGGAAUAUUGCACAAUGGGGGGAACCCUGAUGCAGCCAUGCCGCGUGUGUGAAGAAGGCCUUCGGGUUGUAAAGCACUUUCAGUUGUGAGGAAAAGUGAGUAGUUAAUACCUGCUCACCGUGACGUUAACAACAGAAGAAGCACCGGCUAACUCCGUGCCAGCAGCCGCGGUAAUACGGAGGGUGCGAGCGUUAAUCGGAAUUACUGGGCGUAAAGCGCACGCAGGCGGUUUGUUAAGCUAGAUGUGAAAGCCCCGAGCUCAACUUGGGAUGGUCAUUUAGAACUGGCAGACUAGAGUCUUGGAGAGGGGAGUGGAAUUCCAGGUGUAGCGGUGAAAUGCGUAGAUAUCUGGAGGAACAUCAGUGGCGAAGGCGACUCCCUGGCCAAAGACUGACGCUCAUGUGCGAAAGUGUGGGUAGCGAACAGGAUUAGAUACCCUGGUAGUCCACACCGUAAACGCUGUCUACUAGCUGUUUGUGGCUUUAAGCCGUGAGUAGCGAAGCUAACGCGAUAAGUAGACCGCCUGGGGAGUACGGCCGCAAGGUUAAAACUCAAAUGAAUUGACGGGGGCCCGCACAAGCGGUGGAGCAUGUGGUUUAAUUCGAUGCAACGCGAAGAACCUUACCUACACUUGACAUGCAGAGAACUUUCCAGAGAUGGAUUGGUGCCUUCGG